ACUGGUUUAGUUUAUAAAAAAUGUUACUUUGUGGCUGUAAAGAAAAUUAAUUUUAACUAGUA
rnacentral:tRNA from 2 species